rnacentral:rRNA from 1 species
GGGGGGACGAGGGUGGACAGGUGGUGGCAUGGUUGUCGUCAGCUCGUGUCGUGAGAUGUUGGGUUAAGUCCCGCAACGAGCGCAACCCUCGACCUUAGUUGCCAGCAUUCAGUUGGGCACUCUAAGGUGACUGCCGGCUAAAAGUCGGAGGAAGGUGGGGAUGACGUCAAAUCAUCAUGCCCUUUAUGACCUGGGCUACACACGUGCUACAAUGGGCGGUACAAAGGGUCGCGAACCCGCGAGGGGGAGCCAAUCCCAAAAAGCCGCUCUCAGUUCGGAUUGCAGGCUGCAACUCGCCUGCAUGAAGCCGGAAUCGCUAGUAAUCGCGGAUCAGCAUGCCGCGGUGAAUACGUUCCCGGGCCUU